UAGGGAAUCUUCCGCAAUGGACGCAAGUCUGACGGAGCAACGCCGCGUGAGUGAAGAAGGAUUUCGGUUCGUAAAACUCUGUUGUUAGAGAAGAACAGCGCAUAGAGUAACUGUUAUGCGUGUGACGGUAUCUAACCAGAAAGCCACGGCUAACUACGUGCCAGCAGCCGCGGUAAUACGUAGGUGGCAAGCGUUGUCCGGAAUUAUUGGGCGUAAAGCGCGCGCAGGCGGACUAGCCAGUCAGUCUUAAAAGUUCGGGGCUUAACCCCGUGAUGGGAUUGAAACUACUAGUCUAGAGUAUCGGAGAGGAAAGUGGAAUUCCAUGUGUAGCGGUGAAAUGCGCAGAGAUAUGGAGGAACACCAGUGGCGAAGGCGACUUUCUGGUCUGUAACUGACGCUGAUGUGCGAAAGCGUGGGGAUCAAACAGG
rnacentral:rRNA from 1 species